AUUGAACGCUGGCGGCAUGCCUUACACAUGCAAGUCGAACGGUAACAGGUCUUCGGAUGCUGACGAGUGGCGAACGGGUGAGUAAUACAUCGGAACGUGCCCGAUCGUGGGGGAUAACGCAGCGAAAGCUGUGCUAAUACCGCAUACGAUCUACGGACGAAAGCGGGGGAUCGCAAGACCUCGCGCGGACGGAGCGGCCGAUGGCAGAUUAGGUAGUUGGUGGGAUAAAAGCUUACCAAGCCGACGAUCUGUAGCUGGUCUGAGAGGACGACCAGCCACACUGGGACUGAGACACGGCCCAGACUCCUACGGGAGGCAGCAGUGGGGAAUUUUGGACAAUGGGCGCAAGCCUGAUCCAGCCAUGCCGCGUGCAGGAUGAAGGCCUUCGGGUUGUAAACUGCUUUUGUACGGAACGAAAAAGUUCUCUCUGAUACAGGGGGCGAAUGACGGUACCGUAAGAAUAAGCACCGGCUAACUACGUG
rnacentral:rRNA from 1 species